rnacentral:rRNA from 1 species
AGGACGAACGCUGGCGGCGUGCUUAACACAUGCAAGUCGAGCGGAAAGGCCCUUCGGGGUACUCGAGCGGCGAACGGGUGAGUAACACGUGAGUAAUCUGCCCCUAGCUCUGGGAUAGCUCCGGGAAACCGGGAUUAAUACCGGAUACGACCACUACGGACAUCUGUGGUGGUGGAAAGAACUUCGGCUAGGGAUGAGCUCGCGGCCUAUCAGCUUGUUGGUGGGGUAACGGCCUACCAAGGCGACGACGGGUA